rnacentral:lncRNA from 1 species
AAAGCAUCCAAAUUACAUCCAGGCUUGGUUCAUUCAUAGCUUAAGUCUCUCUUAAAUUCAUAGAGGUGUGAAAUCAAACAGCCACCAACAAAAUAAUUUUAGGCAAUCAUCUUGAAUGUUGGGUUAAAUGAAAAAUAAUGUUGAGCUUGAAACCUUAGGCUUAGCAAUGUGACAAGUUAGUUGAAGUGUCCCAUCAGCAUAGACAGUCAGCCCCAUGAUUGCAUUGUUGCAAUUUUAUAUCUCCAAUACCCUCGUAAUCUGAUGAGUAACCAAUAGCAGGAGGGGCUGAGGUAUGAGCAUAUCUGGAGCCAGAUAGGAAAGUUUAGAAUUUUUUUAAAUGAUCAAAAAGUCCAUAAAUCUUGGCCUAUAUAACAACCAGGAUAUAGAAAAUUCAGUCGAUAUAGUAAAAAACAGAUAAGUUGUCAUUUUAUGGUCUAACUUUAGUAUUCAGUGACUAGAAAACUGAACCUAUAACAACACAUCUAAAGGAUAUUAAAAAUUUGAUUGAUACAAUAAUAUCUUAGCAACAUGCAUCUAGGGCUAUAUUAGCCUAUAUCAGCCAAGGCCAAUAAGUUAUAUAUUGUAUCAAUAAGUGGAAUAUGGAUACUCACCCAUAUAUCCACUGAAUGUAAAUGCUAAGAUGACCAAGUGGCCUCGUGGAGUUCGUCCUCACACUCAAAACUUCACUUAUAAAUAUAGAAAUUUACAUACAUGAGGAUGAUUAAAAGUAGCAGCAAAAUUGGGGACAAACUGAAGAUAAGCAAUAGACGGAUGAAAAAUAUUUAUAAAAAAUAACACAAGGGUAUUGAAAAAUGAGUAAGCCACUUAAUGAUGAUUGCGUACUAGGAUAAGAAUAUAUGGAAGAUAAACAAUUUGCCUAAGCGGAAUAGGACUUCGUUCAUAUGGUUAAGUCUUCAUUUGUGCACCAACAUCAAUGGCAAAAAAAUCAGGGUUCAUCAUUACUUCAAUGAGAAAGAAUCAUUUUAAGCAAAAAAGGUAGUCAGUACUGGUAAUCCUAUUAUUUCUACAUGA